rnacentral:rRNA from 1 species
UGCGUAGGGUGCGAGCGUUGUCCGGAAUUACUGGGCGUAAAGAGCUCGUAGGUGGUUUGUCACGUCGUCUGUGAAAUUCCGGGGCUUAACCUCGGGCGUGCAGGCGAUACGGGCAAUACUUGAGUGCUGUAGGGGAGACUGGAAUUCCUGGUGUAGCGGUGAAAUGCGCAGAUAUCAGGAGGAACACCAAUGGCGAAGGCAGGUCUCUGGGCAGUUACUGACGCUGAGGAGCGAAAGCAUGGGUAGCGAACAGGAUUAGA